rnacentral:rRNA from 1 species
AUUGAACGCUGGCGGAAUGCUUUACACAUGCAAGUCGGGCGGCAGCACGGGGGCAACCCUGGUGGCGAGCGGCGAACGGGUGAGUAAUACAUCGGAACGUACCCUGUCGUGGGGGAUAACGAAUCGAAAGAUUCGCUAAUACCGCAUACGACCUGAGGGUGAAAGCGGGGGAUCGCAAGACCUCGCGCGAUAGGAGCGGCCGAUGUCGGAUUAGCUAGUUGGUAGGGUAAAGGCCUACCAAGGCGACGAUCCGUAGCGGGUCUGAGAGGACGGCCCGCCACACUGGGACUGAGACACGGCCCAGACUCCUACGGGAGGCAGCAGUGGGGAAUUUUGGACAAAUGGGGGCGAACCCGGAUCCAGCCAUUCCGCGUGAGUGAAGAAGGCCUC